AGGACUUGUUUUCAACAAUAUUGAACAUCUAGCACCACAUGGAACAGGAUAUACACAUUUGUUUCUGGUAGAUAAACCGAGUUGCGGUGUUGUUUUGUGGCCAUGUCCUUUCAUUUGAACCCGCUCAACAACUAAAAAGGAUAAACUUUGUUUAAAAAUAAAAACAAAAAUCUAAAAAAUUCUUACACAACAUAACCCAGCUCCUCCAACCAUAUCUGUACUUCGACCCUCAAACCGGCCCCUGCAAUUCACCUGAAGAACAUUGUUCUCUGGUAUAAAGAACGCUGUUAAUGAGUACAGGGUGCAGACUCCUACGAAUGGUCGUCAACGGACCACCAAUUUGCUCCUCGUGCUCCUCCUCGGUCGUCGUCAUGGUUGUCGCCGCGCCAGCCGCCACUGCAGCUGCUACCGCCCACAAGCCAUUAUAACUUCUAUGCAUUUGUUACGGGGGAAGUUUAAUGUUUUUUCGUCCUGUGCUCCUUAAAGUUACACAACUAUCGUCGCUUUGUGCUUUUAUUUUGUAUUUUCCUACAAUUUUCUUUUGCUGAUGAUGAUGAUGGGAAAUUGUUAUUGAAUUAAAAUUGUGAAAUUAAAAAAAAUAAAAGAAAAAUUUAACCCCACAGUAAUAAGUGUGAUAAUUGAGUCUAAAUAAAGUGCAAAUGUUUUAAUAGCGUUACUGAGUUACCUUCGAAAAUUCAAUAAACCAAAAAAUUAUCCUUGCUGCAACCAGACUCAGACAACUAUCGGUCGGUUUGACGGCACACACGGCUGCUAUAAAACAUAAGAGACGAACGACACGACACAACGAGACGACUCGAGCGAGCGACGACGCUUUGUUUCCGGUUCCUGUGUAUUCGAUGUUAAUUGGAUUACACCCAGUAACGAAUUUAGGGAUAUAUUGUCGGUUCGCGCCGUAUUGAGUUGAGGUGAAAAAGUGUCAUCGCGAGGAUUGAGUAACUAACUAACUACAUACAUGAACGACAACGACAGUGACAACGCCAACGAUAACGUUAACGACGACGACAUCAACCUAUACAAAUUACCAAGGAGAAGGACCUUAAAUAUGCCUGGGAAUUUUGGUAUUCAAAUUCAGCUCUGAGAAUUUUUUUUUUUAAAAUCAUUCAUAUAUGAAAAG